UACAGAGGUCUCAAGCGUUGUUCGGAUUCAUUGGGCGUAAAGGGUGCGUAGGUGGCGCGCUAAGUCAGGUGUGAAAUUUCGGAGCUUAACUCCGAAACUGCAUUUGAUACUGGCGUGCUUGAGGACUGGAGAGGAGACUGGAAUUCAUGGUGUAGCAGUGAAAUGCGCAGAUAUCGGGAGGAACACCGGUGGCGAAGGCGGUUCUCUGGGCCUUACCUGACGCUGAGGAGCGAAAGCGUGGGGAGCGAACAGG
rnacentral:rRNA from 1 species